GAACAUUUUAGAAAGAAAUAAGCAUUUCCUCUUGUUAGGUAUUAUAAAAAAAUUCAUAUACAUGUUAUAUUUUCUGCUAUGAGAAAUGUGAGAUGAAAAUAUAUGCAUUUUUAAGUAAAUAAUUUUUUCUUCUCUAUUAAAAAAUUUAGUGCUAGUCUUAAGAUCCCGAAUUCCAGUGCUCACCAGUUCAUUAAGUUAAAUGGACUAGGCAAUGGAGACUGUUAGAUUUUGUCUAUGAAAAGAAUAGUGGUCAACAUGAAUGGAACACAUUAUCAUAGAAAGUAUCUGUACUAAUUUCUUAGUAUGUCUAAAAAUAAAUUUUCUGAUUAGGUACCAGUAUUUUUCUGUCCUCAUAUUAAGAGAAGGAAUGAAUAGGAAAAGCAGAGAAUAUUGCUUUGAACCAACUACUCUUUAUUAAAUAAGUAAACUAGAGGAAAAAAGAAUAUUUUCUCUUUUCAUUUGAAAUAAAAUGAUUUGAUUAGACAGUACUUGUAACUCUGUGUCUAGAGUGGAUAGAAUACAUUAGAAUGAGUGCAGGCUUAGGUUUAUGACAGUCCUAUUUGAAUCCUAGCACUCCCGGGCUAGCUGUGUGGACCUUGGGCAAGUAAGUUAAUUUCUUGGGUUUACAUUCUAAAUUAAGAACAAUAUCUAUUUAAAGUACAGUUUAGAAUAGACCAUCAAGUGGGCCAGUUGCCCAGUCCAGUGCACAAUUUGCAGUAGGUGCUCACUGUUACAACAUUAUCAUGGCAAUUAGUCUGCCAUUCUUUGUAUGAUAAAUUUGACCUUUGAAUAAAUGAUUAAAAGACAAGUUG
rnacentral:lncRNA from 1 species